rnacentral:rRNA from 1 species
AUACAGAGGGUGCGAGCGUUAAUCGGAAUUACUGGGCGUAAAGCGCGCGUAGGCGGCUUAUUAAGUCAGAUGUGAAAUCCCCGGGCUCAACCUGGGAACUGCAUCUGAUACUGGUAAGCUAGAGUGUUGGAGAGGGAAGUAGAAUUUCAGGUGUAGCGGUGAAAUGCAUAGAGAUCUGAAGGAAUACCAGUGGCGAAGGCGACUUCCUGGCCAAAAACUGACGCUGAGGUGCGAAAGCGUGGGUAGCAAACGGGAUUAGAUACCCGAGUAGUCC